GAUUACUUAUAGACCAUUUUGGUCUCUUUGCCAUUGCAUUUCUAAGUUUGAGAGGUCCACUCAUAAAUAUCUCUUUUUUAGGUAACUCAUAAUUACUUUUUGUUUGAUUUUCAUGUUUGUGUGUUUUUUUAUUUAUAAGGGGUUGUGAAUGGAUGUAGGCAAUUUGUGAAUGGAUUAAGAGGAGAAAUUAGAACAACUAUUGUACCUAUUACAGUAAGAAGUGAUUAUGCGCAGUUAGGAGAGGCAGCCUAGUAGAGAAGAGUUUGAGUGUAAAAAGAUCAAGAUAUGAGUUAGGUAGAGGAGAAGGAAAAGGAAGUUUAGGAAAUCUUAAAAAAUCUAAGUCCAUGAUGAGUCAAGGGUCGCAUUGGAGUAGCUAUCAAAAACAAAAGUGUAAUGAGUGUGGCAAGAGACAUUUUGGAACUUGUAGGAGAAGAAGCAUCGUAUGUUUUCAGUGUGGCGAGAAAGAGCAUUACAGGACUGAAUGCUAAAGUAAAUUUACAGAAGGCGAAGAAAGAUCAAUUCAAACAGGGGUGGUGUCUCACUCAGUACAACAACCUACGUGAGGAGGCUCUAUAUUAGACAAGGGUAAGAGGGUUGUAUAUGUAGAAUUUAAGGGUAAGUAAGAAAAGAAGAUGGUUGAAGUUUGUAGUUUUGUAAUUAUAAUUUUUUAAGCUCGGUAAAAAGUUAUAAUAUUACAAAAGCUAAGUAAUGAAAGUAGAAAUUUAUGAAAGUUUGAAGUUAGUCUUUCUUGUCUAAAUUUUGAGGACGAAAUUUCUUAAGAGGGGAAGAGUUGGAAGACCUAUAGUCUAUAGUUAAGAUAAAAAGUAAAAUUUGACUAGUUUAAGUGAGAAGAGGUUGGUUAGUCCACGAGAAAGGUUAUGCGACAAGAUUUUGUAAAGUUGUGUUUUUAUGCGAACAAGGUGUUUCACGAGAUAAAGGAUUAGGCGAGAAUAAGUAAGAAAACUUUCUAAAAAUUUUCUAAGUAUGCUUAAUAGGUCACGUGCAGAGUUUAAGUUCAGAAUGAUUAAGUCAAAUUUAAAGCUUACACGUGCACCACUAAGAGCAGGAACUACCAAACUAAUAAGAGAUAAAAGGUGACUAAGCUUGUUUAUGAAGUAGUAUAAAUAGAGGAUGUGAUUAGAACGUUAAAGAUGAUUAUUACGAGAAUUUGAAGAGAAAAGUUUAAGGGUUGAAGUGCUAUCAAUUUAAAUGGACCAUAUUUGCUGAUCAUACCCAAUCUCUCAAUUCUUGCAUUUGCUCUUCCUUCCAAAUAUUGUACGAUUACUUAUAGACCAUUUUGGUCUCUUUGUCAUCUUAUUUUGGUUGGGUUUAAUUAAGUUUGAGAGGUCCACUAAUAAAUAUCUCCUUUUUAGCUAGGUAACUCAUAAUUAUUUUUUUGUUUGAUUUUCAAGUUUGUGUGUUUUUUGGUUUAUAAGGAGUUUUUUAGUUUGAGGUUUUUCUAUGUGAGCAUUGAUCAUAAACACAUCCAAAAUUUUCUUUCAUAGUUUUCAAUUUGAUUACUAAUUCUGCGGUUGUAAUGUCUGUCUCUCAGAUCGAGAGCUGGUACCAUGGAUAUGAGAUAGUGAAGUAUGAGUGAGGCGAGGAAUGAAAACUUUCACUAAUUAUGUGAAAGAGAUGUUAUUUCUUAUUGAUUUUUAUCACCAACUAGAAGGGUAUUUAUAUAGAGUUUUCUUUAUAACAAAUUUUAUAACAAAAUAACUGAAAUAAAACUAACUCUUACAUAUAUCAUACAAAUCUCCCUCUAACUAAUGUUGGCCAUGAAGAGUUAAAACAUUAGUUUGGAUUUUAGUAAGAGGAAUUGAUUUGUAACGAGUGAUUUAGUAAAGAUGUCAGCCAGUUGAGUAGAGGAAGAUAUGUACUGAAGUUGUAUGUCAUUUUGAACCACUUUUUCGCGAACAAAGUGAUGGUCAACUUCAAUACAUUUAGUUCUUCCUUGAAAAAACGAAUUUCUUGCUAGUUGUCUUGCCAACUGGUUGUUGCACCAUAAAGAUGGGGGCUCAUUGAAAAACACCCAUAAGUCACGGAGGAGCUCCCGAAUCCAAUAUAAGUCUAUUGUUGUAGUUGUUAACACUCUAUACGUGGCUUUAGUGGAGCUUCGAGACACAAUUUUCUACUUUUUGGCUGCCCAUGAUAUUGAGUUAUUGCCUAAAAAUAUUACAGAACUUGUAGUAGAGCGUCUGUCAAGAGAGUUUCCAACCCCAAUCCGAGUCAGAAGAAAGCAUUUAGAUUAAAUGGUUUUGCUAACUUUCUAAGGAGGAUUCCUUUGGAGAUGGUGCCACUAAUGUAUCUUAGUACACAUUUGGCAGCUUGGAGAUGACAAAGUGCUGGAGAGUACAUAAACUAUGACAGUUUGCUGACAGUGAAUGUGAUGUCUGAGCAAGUAAAGGUAAUGUAUUGAGGUGCUCCAAUGAUACUUCGAUGAGCUUUAAUUUGGCAUCCUCUAUUGAUCAGAUUGAGUCUGGUAUGUCUUUUAAAGAGUUGAGUGCAAUGGGGGUUUUACAUGGUUUGCAGCCAAUCCAUUCCGAACUUAUGAAGUAUGUAUUUGGCAUAUUUGGACCGAGUUACUGAUAUGCAUGUUGUUGUUUUAGUUACUUCAAGACCCAAGAAGAACUUGAGUGGCCCCAAACUAGUCAUUUCAAAUAUCUUUCUUAAUUGAGUGAUUAACUCUUCAAUGUAGGAAUUGUCAUUUCCUGUUAUUAUGAUAUCAUCAACAUACAAUUGAAGGUAUGUCAUUGAAAAUCCUUGUUAAACAAAUAAAGAUGUGUCAACAGUGGAUGCAAUGAACCUUAGAGUGAGUAAAAGAGUUGUGAAGUACCUGAAUGAAGCACAAGGUGCUUGUUUAAGGCCGUAAAAGAAUUUAAGAAAUUUAAAUACAUGAUUUGAUUAAGCCUUGUGGUUGUUUCAUGUAUACUUCUUAUUUAAGUUCUCCACGUAGAAAUGAAUUUUUUACAUAUAGUUGCCUUAGUUUCCAAUUAAAUUGUGUAGCUAGAGAAAGUAUUAUUGGAACAGUAGGCUUCUUUACUAUACAGCUAAAAGUUUCUUAAAAAUCAAAUCCUUCUUGUUGGUGAUAUCAUUUGGCAACUAAUCUUGACUUAUGAUGAGCAAUACUGCCAUCUAGAUUUCUUUUAACACAAUACACCCACUUGCAGCCAAUGACAAAUUUGCCAGGUGGUAAUGGAGUUAAGUUCCAUGUUAUUUGUUUUAUUAAAGCGUCAUACUCUUCUUGCAUAACUUUCUUCCAUGUUGAUUCUUUGGAAGCUUGGGUGUAGGAGGUUGGUUCAAUGUCAGAUGAGAGUAAUGGUUUUGUUGUGGCAACAAAGACUCUUUUCUUUGAUAUGUCUGAUUUGCUUAUAGUAUGCAUAGAGUGAAUGUUAGUGGUGUUACUUGGAUGUUCUUGGAUAUUGAUGGUGAGUUUCUCUUGACUUUCAGUAUGAGUACUCUCAUUUUCAGUUGAUGCAAGACUUUCAUUGUUGGUGUUUCCAUUUCUGUGAUUCAUAGUAGAGCAAAAGUUCCAAGCUCCCUAUGGAAGUUGUCAUCUGCCCUUGCCAUGGGAAGUUCUUAUUUGUUAAGUUUGUCACAUAGUUAUUCUUUACAUUAUAUGUUCGAAGUUAUAGUCAGUUUGCAAAAAUGUAGUAUUUUGUGUUUAAAUGUUGCUUGUGUUAGCUCAUCAAGUUAUACUAAACAAUUAAGUCAAUAAAUGUUUAGUUUUUGUUUCAUUA